GAAGGUGUACCGAAGUGGCUUAACGGGCUAGAUUGCAACCCUAGUUUUCGUGGGUUCGAAUCCCACCACUUUCU
rfam:Bacillus phage BCP78, complete genome.